GCCGAGGUGGAGCAGCCUAAGCCUGUGGAGGCACCGGCCCCGGAAGAGCCGCAGCGCAUCCCAUCUCCACCGCCAUUGCCACAGGAGCCACCGCGCCGUCCGUCUCCACCACCAUUGCCACAGGAGCCACCGCGCCGUCCGUCUCCACCUCCAUUGCCAAAGGAGCCGCCGCGCCGUCCGUCCCCACCUCCAUUGCCCAAGGAACCACAGCUCUUUCCCUCGCCACUUCGAUUUCCACUGGAGCAGCG
rnacentral:lncRNA from 1 species